ensembl:snRNA U1 U1 spliceosomal RNA
GCACUUACCUGACAGGGAAGAUGCCAUGAUCACCAAGAUGGUUUUCCCAGAGCGAGGCUUAUCUGUUGCACUACGGAUGUGCUGACCCUGAGCAUAAUCCAAGAAACUGGACUAUAUAAUUUGUGGUUAUGGGGAAUUGCAUUCAGUCCCUCUCUCCA